AAACGACUCUCGGCAACGGAUAUCUUGGCUCUCGCAUCGAUGAAGAACGUAGCGAAAUGCGAUACUUGGUGUGAAUUGCAGAAUCCCGUGAACCAUCGAGUCUUUGAACGCAAGUUGCGCCCGAAGCCAUUAGGCAGAGGGCACGCCUGCCUGGGCGUCACAU
rnacentral:rRNA from 1 species